AUGAGAGAAGAGGGUGAGCAGCCCGGGCUCAGGGGGCAGCUCUGGAGAAAUCUGAUUGAGGUAAGGGGUCCAGGUAUAGGAAUCUUGAAAAAUGACCCCAUCUCCUUGGUCCUAGGCCUCAACAGAUCUUUGAACUCUGGUAACAAGGCACCCACAGUCCCCCAUCCAGCUCACUUGACGGGAGACAGUCAAGAGGCAGAAAUGUUUUGUUGUUGUAUCCCAACUUUUGCAGGAUCUGGGCUCAAAAAAGCCCAGAAAUAGAAUCUUUUUGAUUGUUGCCUACAUUGGCUCAGCCCUCAUCCCUGACACCUCUGGGUGUCUGACAGGAGGCAGUGAAGGGUAACAUGGGCAGCCCAGGAAAGGUUAGUGCAGAUCAGGACACAACGGUGAUCCCACCUGAUCAACCCCAAAAUCCAGGCCCCUCAUCGUGUGUUUGUGUGUGUUUGUGUGUCUGUGUGGUGUGGGGAAGGCAGGGUAUGUGGGGCAGGCCAUUCCUGGGCAGGAGCUGGUUGUUAGGUGUCGGAAGCCUGUGGGUCUGUGACGUUCGUACCCAGGUCAUGGCUGGCAGCAUGAGAAGGUGAGCUGCUCAACUCGUAUGUUAUUGAGCCCUAGAGGUUUCAUCUCCUUCCCUUCCUGACCAGAGUUCUUUGCCAGGAUGCCCUCUGUGCCUGAACUGAGGAGCAGACUUUCUCUUGGGGGUUGACCACAGUGGCAGUGUGCAGGCAGCCCCUGAUUCCCUCUGGCCCAGCUCCCAGGCAGUCUUUGCAGAACUCCACUCAGGAGGUCAUCGAGUAGCUGCCCAAUGGUUUCAACUCCACCAACUCACUAGACAAGGGGCAGGUGCAUGAGGCCACCCACACCAUCCAGUGCUGCUCUGAGAUGAGAGCAGGAGCAGAGGGCCUCCACACUCAGGACCUUGAGAUGAUGGGGUUGGACCAGAACUAGGGUGGGACCAGUCAGGGGCUGUCUCUUUUUCAAGCUAAAGGGGAUGUACAUGCAGGUAACCUUGCCUGGUUCAGAGCUGAGCUGCUGUGACCCUCUUUCCUUUGACUGGUGUGAGCUUCUGGAGGCCAAUGAGGCAGAGCCAGAGGGUAAGGGGGACUGCAGGCUGGCUAUUCCUGGAAAGGAAGUGGGAUCUUUCCUGUAUUUAGAAGGACACAUGGAAAGUCAGCUAUGUGAGUGAACCUUUCUCUUUAUCCCGCUCCAGUGCCAGUUGCAGAGCUCCAGCCAGCAGCAGAAGCAGAGCAGUGGGCAGUGGUGGAGGUAGAGCUGGCUCCAGCUUCCUUGACACCACCCUCUCUAGCACUGGAGCCAGUGUCCCCUCCACCAGCAGUGUUGGAGCUGGAGCAAGGGCCGACAUCGGCUGCAGCAGGAGUGGAAGCUGCUGAGCUGGAGUCACCUGGACCAUCAUUUCUAGUGGGAAGUCCAUCUCCACCUGUGGCUAAGAAGCAUGAGAAGAAGCCCAACCUACGGCCUUCCCUCCUAAGCUGGUGGUGGAGCAGUUGACCGUGAUGGAUGCGGAGUGCGAGAUCCUGAAGAACUUCUCCUCGCCCCGCACUGUCAUCUCUUCUCUGCAGAAAACAUCCAUAUGCCACCUGAAGAACACAUGGAGGAAGUUUCCUGGGAGAGCUCUGAAAAAUUUAAAGAGAGCUAUAGCCAAGACGAGUCCUUGAACAGAGAACUGAUGACCAAGGUUAACAAGCAGAGGGAUCUGUUCUGCCCAUGGGCAGGUGGGGUGCCAUUUGUGGGCAGGAGGCCUUGGUCAUGGGACACAGUGGUGUUGGCUGGGCUGUUCCAGGACGAGUUGCCGAGCUGGCGCCAUCAGCAGGUCUCUGGCUUCCACUCACGUCCAUCCUGCUGGAUGUAGCUUCUUCCAGGCUGUUGGGUGGUUGGGUGGGUUUAUCCCUCAGCCUAAACCUGUCCUCAGGAAGCCAGGCCCCUGCUGCUCCUUCUAUCUUCACCAUGUCUCCAAGGGGAGGGCACACUGCCUACCCCAGGGACGGGCACAACAGGGGAUUCCCCUGGCACAGGAGGACAAACAGGCUGCUCAUCCUUGGAUCUGAACAACUGACCAGAGACAGAUGUGUGUGCAUUGUGGGACUCCCCACUGGACCCCUAGAGCAGUCACUUGAGUCAACCACAGGAGUCUCACCUGAGUGCCUGGUUGGCAAUGAUAUAGGCCCCAGGUGGCUUAUGAGUAGCGUCUAGGCAACUGAUGGAUUCUUAGUGGAUCCUGCUGAAAGGACGUUAAGAGCUUCAUGUAAACGGGGAAGCAAAGCAUCCUGUCACCCCCUUCCCUGUUGAUCAGAGGUGGCACCUUGUGGGUCCAGUUCCUGAGUGGAUAAAGAAAGAGUUCAGUGCAGGCGAAUAUCCUGAGUUGUUCUUUGGGGAGGAGAAGGGUUUGGCAUUGCCUCUGUCCGGCAUGGGGGAGAGACACUCCAGGGGACUGGGGCAGGCAGGAGCCACUCAACAACCAGACUCCCAAGACACCCCAUCCUCUCGAUCCACGGCUCGGCCCAGGGCCAAGCUUUGAGAGCUCAGGGGACAAGACUGUUGUCAGUGGUGGGGCUGGGGGUUAGGCAAGGAUGUUGGAACAGGGCCUCUGGCUGAGAGGGGCAAGCGGCCUCUCCUCUGUUGGCCCCUCAGCAACUCACUGCCCCUGUUUGGUCCUCUGUCUCCCCAUCAGGGAAAUGGAGGUAUGGUGAUUGUGUGGUGAUUGUGUGGUGCAGGCCUCACAGGGUGGUAAUGAGGAGGGGCCCUCCACGUUUGCCCCCCGGAGGGCAACCCCCAGAGAGUGCAGGAGAAGCAGCAGCAGCAGCAGGGGAAUGAGAUCAACCUUGAGAAGAGGACUGAGGAGCAGCUGUGGCACUCCUUGCAGGGGAGGGGAAGGAGGUGGAAAUCAGAGACCCUCUGGGGAGAACAGUUUCUGGCUCCACCCCUUGUAUCUUACAUUGAGUGGAAGAUUUUGGUAGAAGUCGAGACCCAUCCAGUUGGCGCGUGGGUUGAAGGGAGGAUGGCAUCAAGGAAAACUUCUUGGAGGAGGGGCUGAUUAUUCCCAUUCUGAGAACAGGUAGAGCCUGGAUGGAACUGGAGGGAAGGAGCGUUCCCAGGACUGGUCCCCUGCCCCACUCCUCACCCCCCACAAGGCCCCUGCAACAUCCCCCAACCAGGCCCUGUCUGCAUCCUCUCCUUCCCUCUGGUCCCAAGAACACCGAGUCAUGAGGGAGAUCCUGCUGCUCCAGGUCGCUGCAAAGAAUUAUAAAAAGACCCCAAGGAGUGAUUUGGGGCCUGGUUCCAGGACAUGGAGCUGCUCAACGAGAAUGAGUCAAACACCAAGGGUAGAGGUCAUCAAAAGAUCAAGUCUAAUCUACAUACGGGUGUGGCAGCCUUAACUAUGGAUGUUCAAGCCAGACAUUGCCAGAAGAACUACAUCUCUUCACCCAUAGAAGAUGCAACCUACAGCUGAAGAGAAACAGAUACAACACCAAUAUCUUAUCCUCUCUGAAGCCAAACUGAGAGCCCCUGGAGUGAGAAGUUUCCAAGAAAAGAAAAAGUCAUCCAUCUUCGGAAGAGAGACAGUAGAGCACGGACUGUAGGAGAAAGCCCAGAGGAGCAAUGAAGACAAAGAAGACAUGACACCUGCAAAAAGUCAGUGGAGUAUUUCUACGUAACAAACCUUCCAGGUGAGUGACGGUCAGUAUCUUCCACUGAUCCAGCUCUCACAAUAAACCUAGAACAUGCCCAAGGUAAGCUGGAGGACUACGCCCCACUAGUCCAUUCCCUGCCCAGGGCCUGUUUGUGCAGGGUGACUGCCAUCAAGCAGACAAUGGACUCAGGAUGGAGCAUGUGCCUUUGGGGAGGCUGGUAGAGAGGGACAAAGUGGAACACCAGCUAAGUGCACACACCUGAGAGGUGGAGUUCCAGGAGGAGACUCAAAAUGUACCAAGAAACUGCGUGAAGGGAGCUACUCGACCUCUCUGAGCCUCAGUGUCCCCCCCUGUAAAAUGGGGAUGACAGGCCUACUUCACAGACCUGUUGGGGAAGAUACAUAAAAGUGCCUGUGACAGCCAGUGUCCAUAUUAUUAACAAAGCCGUCUCCGACUUCAGAAUAAUCAAUGAAAAGAAUAAUGUUGAUGAGACCAAAGACGAGAUGCUCAGCUUCAUAACAGCCCCAGCAGCAUGAGAGUGAGAGGAGCUCCGAGUAAGCAAGGUUCUUCACAGCUCCACUAGAGAGGAUGAACAUGGGCUACACCAGGAUAAGUGGCUGUUGUACAGUGACUCGUGUAGUGAGGGUGGGUCCCUAAAGACACUGAAAUCC